CUCUUACCGACACACUUUGCCCCUGGUUCGAGUCCAGGCUAAUAAAAUCCUUUGAUUUUACCAAAAAACUUUGCCUUUGGUGCGAGUUCAGGCUGAAAUCUUUUUAUUUUACACGUAUAAUCAAAGGAUUUUAGCUUGAACUCGCAGUAGAGGCAAAGUUUUUGGUAAAAUUAAAGGAUUUUAUUAGCCUGGACUCGAACCAGGGGCAAAGUGUGUCGGUAAGGGGCAAAAAUAACGGUCUCCUUUUUAUACAGACCUUUGGCGAUCUGUCUAUUAAUCUGUGUCAGAGAUUGUCUUUUUUGCUCGACAUUGGAAGGGCCUGAGCAGAAUGGCUGACUUAUAACCUUAAAACACUGUUUUAUGCCCUAAGUCUUUGUCUUAGGUAACGCACAAUACUGUGUUAAUGUUUCCUGUCUUGUGUAGUAUACGCGACGUUUUAAGGAAUAAACGUAAAACGUAUAUUAAAAUGAUGUAUAGAAAUAAGCAAUUUUUAUUGCUUGUUUUACAAUGGAUGCUUUUGUAUAAAUUAUUAAAACGAAAAAAAAAACAAAUUAGAUGGUAUAAAAGAAGAUGGUACGUGCGACCAAUAAACCAACUGA